UGGGGAAUAUUGGACAAUGGGCGAAAGCCUGAUCCAGCCAUGCCGCGUGUGUGAAGAAGGCCUUUUGGUUGUAAAGCACUUUAAGUGGGGAGGAAAAGCUAAUAAUUAAUACCUAUUAGCCCUGACGUUACCCACAGAAUAAGCACCGGCUAACUCUGUGCCAGCAGCCGCGGUAAUACAGAGGGUGCAAGCGUUAAUCGGAAUUACUGGGCGUAAAGCGAGCGUAGGUGGUUACUUAAGUCAGAUGUGAAAGCCCCGGGCUUAACCUGGGAACUGCAUCUGAUACUGGGUAACUAGAGUAGGUGAGAGGGAAGUAGAAUUCCAGGUGUAGCGGUGAAAUGCGUAGAGAUCUGGAGGAAUACCGAUGGCGAAGGCAGCUUCCUGGCAUCAUACUGACACUGAGGUUCGAAAGCGUGGGUAGCAAACAG
rnacentral:rRNA from 1 species